rnacentral:rRNA from 1 species
AAUCACCUAUCAGCUAUGGGGUGGUGAAUACGUUCCCGGGCUCUGUACUCACCGCCCGUCACGCCAUGGGAGCCGGGAGCGCCUGAAGCCCCGCUACGGCGGGGUGAGGGCGAGCUCGGUGACUGGGGCGAAGUCGUAACAAGGUAGCCGUACGGGAACGUGCGGCUGGAACACCUCCUUUUCAGAG